UUUAUUUUACGCAAGUACCUAAUACCUCUUAUCGCGAAAUGACUCGUAUACAUCAAAUUGCAAGUGCUCUAGCUGCAUGUUGAUCAAGAGUUUUUACAUGUACUAUUUUAGCAAUAUGAAGAUAAAAGCGAAUAAUUUUAUUUUGUGAGUGAUGUUUGUCACUAAAUUACGCGAUAAUAAAUUUCUCGCGUAUAUUUAGGAAUUUACAGUAUCAAAAGUUGUUAUUAAAAACUUCUAUGUUCAAUCAAGCAAAACGGGGAUUUAUCCAGUUAGGCUGCAAAACAGCGCUGCUUUAAAGCACAAAUGUGUUCUAUAUAGUGGCUUAAUUACUUUGCGGAAGAUUUCAAAAUGUAAAACAACAAAUGUUCUGUAUCUAUUAAUGCAUAUAUAUUCAGGAUUAAACUCAUUAUAAACAAACAUUCAUAAAUGAAUACAAAGACCCUGGUUCAGAUAGAAACAUGAUUAUAAAGAUGUAGAUCUAAAUAUACUAAAAAAUGAAUAAUAAUAAAAAUAACUAUAUCUAUAGUAUGAAUGUAUUCAACUAGGCUCAAUUCAAUUCUGUUCAAAAUUAAGGUAAACUGUCAUCAAGCAAAAACUUAGUGCAAUAAAUUCUUGUACAAACAUCGUAAUCCAUAUUCCUUAUGCGUCCUAUUUCAACUUACCAGCCUUCAUGCCCAUGGUCUCCACUCUCCUUGACUUUAGGCCUACUGAUUUUCUGUACUCAAAUGGCCACUAGUACCUGAUAAUUAAAUGUAAACAUGUUUUGAGAACUACCUUAAUAAAAUUAAAAAUUUUGAUAUUAAAAGAUCUAUUUGUAAUUAGUUACAUAUAUCAGCUGAUAAAAUAUAAAAUUAAUGAUUGAAGUUGGUAGAUAAUAUUCUGGUAUUACUGUAGGAAUGAACAAAUAUGUAACAAAUGCAACUCCAGUUCAUUAGCCUGAUAUGUGAUAAGAUUCAUUUUUUUUUUAAUUAAAUGUGAAAAAGUUUGUUGAUGAAAGAAAAUCUUUUUGUGGUGCUAUAGAUAAAAGUUAAAUUUUUUACUAAACUUAAUGAUGAACAAAAAUUCAUUAACAUAUUAUGUUCUGAGGAGCCAUCUAUUUAAAUAUAACUAGAAAAUUUAUUUUGAACAAUAUAUGAAACUGUAUUUGCAUGUAGAUCUAACUAUGUGUCAUGUAAUCACUUCUUUCUUUACUGGUAUAUGUACAGUAUUUGUAUAUAUUUCCGUGCUGCCCCUUGAGGGUCCUAAAAUUGGAAAAUUAAAUAUGCUCUAUGUUCUAUGUAAUAAAUAUUAUCACAGCAAUCAAUGUUUGGCUAUGUCCUGACCAAUGGCAAUGGAAUGCAUGUUUACGUUAGCCUAGGCCUAUCUGUUUCCAUAAACCUAAUAAUGUCGGUGCACGUUGAAAUGCACUUUUCAUUACUUCGAAGUUGAAUUAAAUGUGCUUUGUAUGACUGCUCUGUUACACAUUUGAUCUUGUACAGACCGGGUCACAAAUCAGUUAGCCAUUCUAACAUCGAUACUCCAAUUUUUCAUAUGCUUCAAAUAAAAGCGCGCAGCUCAGUGUUUCGGCAGAAAUCAAAGAGUACUUCGAUCGGCCAAUUCCGUAUUUCCUAUGUUUUACUGUGAGUACGAUCUGCCGAGUUUUGCCGAUGAGUUAAAUGCCUUAAUGUUUUUUUUUUUAUUUUAAUAGAAAAAAUAUUAUUAAUCAUUAAUUUUAGUUUGAAUAUAAGAAACCAGUGUAAGCUGCACAAAAAGUUGAUGGUUUAAAAAAAAACCAUGUAACAAACGGUUACAAGUAAUUUCAUUGGGCAGUCAUUUCACCCCCUUUCCUUCAGGCUUCGUAUUGCUUUUUAGGAUACUUAUGAAAAAUCUUUUCGCUAGUUUGAAGCUCAAGAAUUGUUAAUGCAAAUAUCAAUGUGUUCUGAAGGUUUUUUUUCAAACUUUGAGCGAUUGAGCAAUAUAUGCUUUAUUGUGGAGACGAGGAUAUGACACAAAACGACUGACAACCGUGAAUAGCAAUGGCGGACGACGUUAACAAGAUUUAGGUGUCGCUAGAAAACCAAUUGAUGAGCCGUCUACAGUCAGUGUAAAACUUGGAAUGAAAUAAACCCACCAAGAACUGCAAUCUCUUUGAAAGAGCUUAAAGAGUCCCCCUAUUUCCAUCGGGCAUACCUUCAAUAACUAUGUGACACAGACAUAUCAGUUCUUAUGGGAAUUAAGGGAUUACUCAAAUACAUAUUGACUGCUGUGAAGUUUUGUGUUUUCAAAACAGACUGAAAGUAAAACAGUGAUGAUUAAUGAAGCCUCAAUUUUCUCUAUAUUCACUUGUACAUCGUACGCUAUAUAAUUAUCAUGCAGUCAAUGGAAGAGGUGAUCGACAAUUUUCACUACAAGGAUGCAACAAUCAACCUUGUUCACUCAGGCAAUUUUGGAUACUCAUUUUUGAGGCCACAAAAUGUUCUACAUGAUAAAACAACAUAGUCAAUAAGUCACAAUAUACUAGGAAAGAAUAUUGUUAUUUUUUUUUUUUUUAAAAGAAUGACAAUGAUGAAGUGGUUUUAAAUUGAUGUGCUUGACAUUGAAUAAUACUAAGCUCAAAACGUGAUACCUUUCUUAUAUAUAUAUAUAUAUAUAUAUAUAUAUAUUAAUGCAUGAUUUUGAAAAAGAAAAACCAGCACAAAAGCAGCACACAUUGGUCAGGUUUUAGUGCCAACAUCACAAUGAGUAAGAAAAUGCAGCACAAAUGCAGCCCUGUGAGAAUCUGUUUAAGAUUUUGCAGUACAAGGUUAGUCAUAUUGCAGCACAUAAUCAGCACAUACAGUUCCUGGCAAAACAAAGUAAAAAUUUUGCAGUACACUUUCUGUACAGAUGCAGUACAAAAUCAGCAUAUGCUGCCUGGCAGUACAAUAUCUUAUACUGUGCUGUAGUUGUACUGCAUAUCUGCAGUGCAAAUAAAGUGUACUUUCAGCACCAAAGCAGCAUAUGCUGCAAUGCAGUAUGCGCUUUCAGCACCAAAGCAGCAUAUGCUGCAAUGCAGUAUGCGCUGCAAUUCCGCGCGCGCGAGAUCUCUUUAAUACUUUUUAAUAAUGGCAAACAUAGAGGGAAUUUCCAAAAUGUUACAAAAUUGAACAAUUAAAACUUCUCUGAAUUAAAAUGAACAUGGAAAUAUCAAAUCUUCUAAAGCCAUAUCAUAAGGAUUAAAUCAGUUGUCUAUAAGUGACUAAUUUCUUAGAUGUUCCAUAGGAUUGCAACAGACUUCCUAUUGUUCACUUAUAGUUUGUUUCAAAACACUUUCAUUCACCUUAUUGACUUAAAUUCUCUUGCACACUUAAGGCAAACUUUAUCAGUAUGGGUGUCUGGAUUUAUGUCAAUGUGCAAAUAAUAUCUUUCAAUUAACACAAAAUAUUCUGUCUUUGAUGAUCCUUGGAAUAACUUUGCAAAAUUCACCAUUUUUUGUACAUUCUUUUCUGCUUUUCCAAAUUAUGCAAUUAGUUUUUAUGCUGCAUCAGUAAACUUAAAGAAGUCCUUCAAAUGAUAAAAACAAUAAUCACUAUAAUAAUUUUGGCUCCACCAUGAAACCAAAGCCUUACCAUCUAGAAUCAUGAAAUUUACAAUUUUGGUAGAGGCCUUCCUACUCUAUAUCACUAAGCAUUUAGUCUUUCUUAAAAGAUAUUCGGUUAUAUAGAAGAUUUUGAGAAAAUUGGUCUACAUUUGGCAGUUUUUGCCCCGCCCUAAGACCCCAGGGGUGCAGGGGUCCUGAAAUUUACAAUUUAUUUCCCCCUUGUCCUGAAGAUUGAUUGAUGUUUUAUGUCGAUCAUGUCCCGAAGAUGCUUCAUACCAAAUUUGAAAGGAAUUCGAAAAGUAGUUAUCAAGAAGUUAAAACAGUUCUAUUUUUCACACAUUUAAUAACUGACCAUUUUGGCCCCAGCCUGAUACUAAAACCCCUACCCCCUGAGAUCAUCAAAUUUACGAUUUUGGUAAAGCCCGGACUACCUUUUCUUUCUAAAUAUCCAUUUAGUUACAAUUUAGUAUCAAUAGCACAAAAGAAGAUGUUAUCUAAGCGUUUUACACAUAAACACUAUACAGUCAAAACUGCCAUAGCGACCCACUGUAUUGAGCGACUCACUGUCGUAUGUGACCAUAAAAAGUUCCCCCCAAGACGUUACUCUAUAUAUUGUACCUGUAUUAAACGACCACCUGACUGACGCGACCAACGACCAUAAUUUUUACAACCUUUUCGUGUAUUUUCACGAAAUAUUACCUCUAUUUAACGACUGUACAUUUUUCGAUUAUAACGUGAUUACUACUUUCGAUUUCAGUUGAGCCGACUAUUCUGGGAAUUAUCGCCCCUAACACUUUCGUUUUCAAACGCACGACUAUUCUGGGAAUUAUAGCCCCUAACACUUUCGUUUUGAUACGCACAGUUUGGUGAUGAUCUUGUUUAGUCGGCCCUCUGAAUAAAUUAUUAUACCUAAGCUGUCAACAUGCAGUGUUGUGUGUGGUUAAUUAAUAAAACCCGAGUUGAUGUUUAUUUAACAAAAUCAAAGAUCAUGGAAUCAAGGCCGGUGUAUUUGAAGGUGUGAAUUUCGACAAACUUUAAGAAGUGCCGGGUAGGCUAGAUCGGAAAUGAAAAUCUACCACUUGUUAUACCAUUAUGUUCAACAGAGUAAAAAUUUGCCCCAUUGUGAUAUAAAUCAAGUAAAUAUUGUGCUUAGGACUGAAAUUUUAAACGGAGUAUUCGCAGUUUUUCCUACAUGAGAUACUAGAGGUUUCCAGAAUAAUGACCGGAACUAGCGGCUCACUUCGACAUGUCCCGAGUAUUUGACACGUCCGAGUUCAAGAAAAUUGCCUGCAUUAGUUCUAAGCUUAAAAGAUUUCCUGUGCAUGUACAAUGGAUAUUGUGAUUUAUUUAAUGUUUCUCAAAUUGAAUAACAUUUUUCCAGCAUGUAUUGUACAAAAGGAGACGCAACACUUCACCAUUUGCUUUCUUACCACAAGCAUUGCAUUUUUAGUUACACUGUACAAGUAGGCUAUACAGAAAUACCCUUUACAACAAAGUGUUUAUAAGUUUUAGAAAAUUUACAUGCAGUUCAUAAAUAAUUUUUAAAUCUCAUGUAAAUGUGUAUUAUGAAAUGCAUGCAAAGUUUAUCAUUCUUAGAUAGAUUAAAUGUAAUUUUUGAUGAAUAAAAAAUUAUGAUACAUUAACACAUCAUAUUCUAGAUUUUUAACUACAGUGUAUUAUUAAUUUUAUUUUACAACUAUUAAAACCAUACUUGAUAUUCUUAAUGAUAAAUUCCAAAUACAUGUAGUCAUUUUCUCCAUUGUACAAAUUAUUUACGAAAUUUUAUCCAUUAACUGCGGAAAA